rnacentral:rRNA from 1 species
UACGUAGGGGGCAAGCGUUGUCCGGAUUCAUUGGGCGUAAAGAGCGUGUAGGCGGCCAGGUAGGUCGGUUGUGAAAACUGGAGGCUCAACCUCCAGAGGUCGACCGAAACCAUCUGGCUAGAGUCCGGGAGAGGAGAGUGGAAUUCCUGGUGUAGCGGUGAAAUGCGCAGAUAUCAGGAAGAACACCCGUGGCGAAAGCGGCUCUCUGGAACGGUACUGACGCUGAGACGCGAAAAGCGUGGGGAGCGAACAGG